UUUUCCUACGGGAGGCAGCAGUGGGGAAUAUUGCACAAUGGGGGAAACCCUGAUGCAGCGACGCCGCGUGAGCGAAGAAGUAUUUCGGUAUGUAAAGCUCUAUCAGCAGGGAAGAAAAUGACGGUACCUGACUAAGAAGCCCCGGCUAAAUACGUGCCAGCAGCCGCGGUAAUACGUAUGGGGCAAGCGUUAUCCGGAUUUACUGGGUAUAAAGGGAGCGUAGGCGGCCUGGCAAGCCUGAUGUGAAAUACCGGGGCCCAACCCCGGGGCUGCAUUGGGAACUGCCAGGCUGGAGUGCCGGAGAG
rnacentral:rRNA from 1 species